GCUCAAAUUUGAAAUCCUGCGGGAAUUGUAAUUUGAAGGUUUCGUGGUCUGAGUCGGCCGCGCCCAAGUCCAUUGGAACAUGGCGCCUGGGAGGGUGAGAGCCCCGUAUGGCGCACGCCGACUCUUUGCACCGCGGCUCCGACGAGUCGAGUUGUUUGGGAAUGCAGCUCUAAGUGGGUGGUAAAUUCCAUCUAAAGCUAAAUAUUGGCGAGAGACCGAUAGCGAACAAGUACAGUGAUGGAAAGAUGAAAAGCACUUUGAAAAGAGAGUGAAACAGCACGUGAAAUUGUUGAAAGGGAAGGGCUUGCAAGCAGACACGGUUUUACCGGGCCAGCGUCGAAAAGGGGGGAGGAACAAGAACUCGAGAAUGUGGCGCGCACCUUCGGGCGCGCGUGUUAUAGCUCGUGUUGACGCCUCCAUCCCUUUUCGAGGCCUGCGAUUCUAGGACGCUGGCGUAAUGGUUGCAAGCCG
rnacentral:rRNA from 1 species